UUACCUUCUGCGCUCACCCUUCUAUGACAAAUACUCUGAGGAAAAGAUUCUCUUCCUGCUCAGAGUCCUGGCUGAUCAUGUUCCAGGAAUAGGACUUAUUGCACGCCCUCUGAUGGAUUACCUUCC